rnacentral:tRNA from 1 species
GCGUCGGUGGUAUAACGGUUAGCAUAGCUGCCUUCGAAGCUGUUGACCAGGGUUCGACUCCCGGCCGACGCA